UACGUAGGGUGCAAGCGUUGUCCGGAAUUAUUGGGCGUAAAGAGCUCGUAGGCGGUCUGUCGCGUCUGCUGUGAAAACUCAGGGCUUAACUCUGAGCUUGCAGUGGGUACGGGCAGACUAGAGUGCGGUAGGGGAGACUGGAAUUCCUGGUGUAGCGGUGAAAUGCGCAGAUAUCAGGAGGAACACCGGUGGCGAAGGCGGGUCUCUGGGCCGAUACUGACGCUGAGGAGCGAAAGCGUGGGGAGCGAACAGG
rnacentral:rRNA from 1 species